UACGUAGGUGGCAAGCGUUGUCCGGAUUUACUGGGCGUAAAGAGCGCGCAGGCGGUCGUUCAAGUCGCGUGUGAAAGCCCCCGGCUCAACUGGGGAGGGUCACGCGAUACUGAUCGACUCGAAGGCAGGAGAGGGUAGUGGAAUUCCCGGUGUAGUGGUGAAAUGCGUAGAUAUCGGGAGGAACACCAGUGGCGAAGGCGACUACCUGGCCUGUUCUUGACGCUGAGGCGCGAGAGCGUGGGGAGCAAACAGG
rnacentral:rRNA from 1 species